AUCUACACUGAUUGAAGUGGAUUUAACUAGUGACAUCAGUAAGGGAUCAUAGCUUUAGCCUGGAUUCACCUAGUCUUUCUAAGUCAUGGAAGGAGCAGCUGUUCUUAAUGUUUUGUCUACCCAGUGUAAAGCACUACAGAUAAUCAAGUGCUAUUUGCAUGUGAUGCAUUUGCUCUGUUGUUUACAGUAUGAUUUGUAUCGUAUAGAGCGUGGCUUUAAGGGAAAAGUAUGGUCACAUCUAAUAAAAACAAAUGUGAAAAAUUAACAGAGUAAUAACACAAAUGUGUUUUAACACACUACCUAUUCGUAUAAGUAUUUAUUCAUCAUCCACAUAUUCAUAUUAAGCUUCUACGUCUGUGUACAGGAAAGUAUAAUUUGAAAGACGUAAGAGAAAAUAUAUCAGCUAAUUGUUAAAUUAUUAUGACGUUCUUUCUUUUUCUUUCCAAUACAAUAAGUGUCGUAACUAUUGUUUCCAAACUGCGUUACCCACUCCAGUCAGCAGAUGGCGAUGGGCGUCUUUCAGGUGAUGCUUCUUGAUGACGUAUAAUGGACUGGACGGGACGCUUCUUCAGGAACAACAAGGCGCAAACUCUUUCAACCACCUCGCGGAGGUCUGCUGUUUGGAGAAAGAAUCUUUCAGAAUGAAAAAGGAGGAAGAGGAGGCUGUUAUAGUGAAAGAAGAGAACGAACCCUUUAGAGAGGAAGAGGAUGCUAUCUUAAUAUACGUGAAGGAGGAAGACGUUUUGAGAGUGAAAAAGGAGGAGACAGAAGAUCCGAUUGACACCAGAGAGAGACAUGACUAUGGUGGAUCCUCUGGGGAGCCUCAACAACAUCCUGAUGCUGACAAGGCAGAGAAGAGUCUCUCCAGAUCAGAACACCAGAUGGACAACGCUAGCCCUUCCAGCCUCCCGGAGUCCAUGUGUCGUGCCUCUCCCAGUCGCACCUUACUGCUGGGUAUGAAGAGGUUGUCUGUGCUGCUGGUGGACUUCAGGAAAACAACGGGGCUGAGUGGAACUGUGAGGGGAGGAGAAGAGAUGAAAGGAUCAGAUUUGACUCAUCAAAUGCUGUACUGAAACAGCUGCAAAACGUGACUCGUGACGUUGCUGGAUGCGGGCCUCGCUCUGCUGCUUUGCCAGUUAAUUUGUUAUUUUAUUACAGCUAUGGCCUUUGUCUUUCACCUGUAGUUGUUUAUUUAUGUUUGAGAAUAAACACCUUUCAACUCAUAAAACAUGUACAAAAUAAACUCAGCAAAAAAAUAUACGUAUCUUUUCAGGGCCCUGUCUUUCAAAGAUUAUUGGUAAAAAAUCCAACUAACGUCACAGAUCUUUAUUGUAAAGGGUCACCAGACAUCACUGGCAACAACGUCGCCUCUGGGCACCGUCACAAAAAGUCACGGUUUUGUCUCCAGGGGUGAUGGUCGGAUUCGUGUUUAUCGUCAAAGAAAUGAGCAUUACACGGAGGCCUGUACUCUGGAGCAGGGUCAUUUUUAUUUAUUUUACCUUUAUUUAACUAGGCAAGUCAGUUAAGAACAAAUUCUUAUUUUCAAUGACGGCCAGUGGGUUAACUGCCUGUUCAGGGGCAGAACGACAGAUUUGUGCCUUGUGAGCUCGGGGAUAUGAACUUGCAACCUUUCGGUUACUAGUCCAACUCUCUAACCACUAGGCUACCCUGCCGCCCCAGAUACUGACUGUUACUUUUGAUUUUGACACAUUAUUAUUUUGACACAUUAUUCCAUUUCAGUUAGUCACAUUUCUGUAGAACUUGUUCAGUUUAUGUCUGUUGUUGAAUCUUAUGUUCCAACAAAUAUUUACACAUCUUAAGUUUGCUGAAAGUAAACGCAGUUGACAGUGAGAGGACAUUUCUUUUUUUUGCUGAGUUUAGAUUGGCGAGGGGGGAAACAAUUUAAUCAAUUUUAGAAUAAUGCUGAAAUGUAACAAAAUAUGGAAAGGGUGAAGGGGUCUGAAUACUUAACGAAUGCACUGUGUCUGUGUGUAUACUGAACCAAAAUAUAAACAACAAUUUCAAUGAUUUACAGCUCAUAUAAGUCAGUCAUUGUAAAUAAAUAAAUUAGGCCCUAAUCUAUGGACUUUACAUGACUGAGGGGUGCAGCCAUUGGUGGGCCCUGGAGGGCAUAAGCCCACCCAUUGCGGAGCCAGGCCCAGCCAAUCAGAAUUCGUUUUUCCCCACAAAAGGGCUUCAUUACAAAUAGAAAUACUACUCGGGUGGCUGGUCUCAGAAGCUGUGGAGGUCCUGGGCUGGCGUCGUUAUAUGUGGUCUGUGGUUGUGAGGCCAGUUGGAUGUACUGCCAAAUUCUCUAAAAUGACGUUGCAAGGUGGCUUCUGGUAGAGAAUUGAACAUUCAAUUAUCUGGUAACCGCUCUUGUGGAUAUUCCUGCAGUCAGCAUGCCAAUUGCAUGCUCCCUCAAAACGUGAGACAUCUGUGGCAUUGUGUUGUGUGACAAAACUGCACAUUUUAGUGUGGCCUUUUAUUUUCCCCGGCACAAGGUGCACCUGUGUAAUUAUCAAGCUGUUCAAUCAGCUCCUUGAUAUGCCACACCUGUCAGAUGGAUGGAUUAUCUUGACAGAGAAUAAAUGUUAACUAACAGGGAUGUAAAAAAUUCUGCAAUCUUUUUUUCCCAGCUCAUUAAACAUCCAACACUUUACAUGUUGCGUUUAUAAUUUGUUUAUUGUAGUUACUAACAGUUUUAGGAACAUCUUUCCAAAUAUUUCACCUUGUUUUUUACUUUACCCAAAAUAUGACAUCAGCGAUAGUCAAAAUGUUGAAAAUCUGUGAACGUCUAAAUAAGAAAUUGGGCCAUUUAAACAGCAGGUGUUGAACCCUUUCAACAACGGAGAUAUUUUACAACUUAAAAUCAAGUUUUGGACUUCCACUUAAAAUGACUUAUUUACUUAUUUUAUGUUUAAGGAAGUGUGUACAGUCGUGGCCAAAAGUUUUGAGAAUGACACAAAUGUUAAUUUUCACCAAAUCUGCUGCCUCAGUUUGUAUGAUGGCAAUUUGCAUAUACUCCAGAAUGUUAUGAAGAGUGUUCAGAUGANNNNNNNNNNCGGUAUGUUGAUGUAAACUAUUUAUUGAUAAUGUAUUUUCCUAUUCAGAUUAUACAUCUGCAUAGACUCAAACAGUAUUUUAAAGUUGAUUUAAAAAAUAUAUAUAAAUUGUACACUUCUAUUUUCACAAUUUGAAUUAUUAUUAAUCAAAAACUCCUAUAGCAACAAUACACUGCAGCUUUGACAUCAAGAAGAGAACGGGCUGAUGGGUGGUGGUGCUACUCUAUAGGUAAGGCUGUCCAAUAUGAAUGUUCAAUACACACAAUAGGUUGAUCAGUANNNNNNNNNNUGGAAAAAAUUGUGUUUUACCAAAUACAAUGCUAUAUUUCUGUAAACAAAUGAACAACAUACUUUCAGCAUGCUUAUAGAGAAGGGCACUCAACAUGUACUGCACUGACACAAAUGACUGAUGAUUGGUUGAGAGAAAUUGAUAACAAGAAUAUUGUGGGAGCUCUAUUGUUAGAUUUCAGUGCAGCCUUUGAUAUUAUUGACCAUAACCUGUUGUUUAAGAAUGUGUGUGCUAUGGCUUUUCAACCUCUGCCAUAAUGUGGAUUCAGAGCUAUCUAUCUAAUAGAACNNNNNNNNNNUUAUUUCUAUGUUUUCUAUUUCUUUGUUUUUGGCCAAGUGUGGUUCCCAAUCGGAGGCAGCUGUCUAUCGUUGUCUCUAAUUGGGAAUCAUACUUAGGCAGCCUUUUUCCACCUGUGUUUUUUGGGUAGUUGUUUUCUGUAUAAUUAAUUUCUUCGAAUGUUGUUUGAUUAAAUAAAAAUCAUGAACACUUACCACUCUGCGCUUUGGUCCAUGCCUUCCGACGAGAGACGUGACAAUUAUGUGUCAUGUUUUGUGUUGACCGCAGGAGGGGUAGCUGCUGCUUUUGCAACAGCUAAUGGGGANNNNNNNNNNUGUCCUCUCCUGCUGACUUCAUAUAUAGUGGUCAGAGAUUCUGUCAGA
rnacentral:lncRNA from 13 species